AACGAACGCUAGCGGUAGGCUUAACACAUGCAAGUCGAACGCAUUACUUAGCAAUAAGUGAUGAGUGGCAGACGGGUGAGUAACGCGUGGGAAUCUACCUGGUAGUAAGGAAUAGCCGAUGGAAACGUCGGGUAAUACCUUAUAUUCCCUGAGGGGGAAAGAUUUAUCGCUACCAGAUGAGCCCGCGUUAGAUUAGCUAGUUGGUGAGGUAAUGGCUCACCAAGGCAACGAUCUAUAGCUGAUUUGAGAGAAUGAUCAGCCACAAUGGAACUGAGAACGGUCCAUACUCCUACGGGAGGCAGCAGUGAGGAAUAUUGGACAAUGGGCGCAAGCCUGAUCCAGCCAUACCGCAUGAGUGAUGAAGGCCCUUGGGUUGUAAAGCUCUUUCGGCAGGGAAGAUAAUGACGGUACCUGCAAAAGAAGCCCCGGCUAACUUCGUGCCAGCAGCCGCGGU
rnacentral:rRNA from 1 species